rnacentral:rRNA from 1 species
AACGAACGCUGGCGGCGGGGCUUAGGCAUGCAAGUCGAGCGAGAAAGCCGCAAGGCGAGUACAGCGGCGUAAGGGUGAGUAAUAGGUAGUCAACGUAUCCUGCAGACGCGGAUAAUUCCCCGAAAGGGGUUGUAAUACGCGAUGAGACCACGGGGCCUUCGGGCUCUGGGGUCAAAGGUAGGGGAUCCUUCGGGACCUCGCGCCGUGGGAGCGGACGACCUCCGAUUAGCUAGUUGGCGGGGUAACGGCCCACCAAGGCGACGACGGGUAGCUGGUCUGAGAGGAUGGCCAGCCACAUUGGGACUGAGAGACGGCCCAGACUCCUACAGGAGGCAGCAGUGGGGAAUCUUGCGCAAUGGCCGAAAGGCUGACGCAGCGACGCCGCGUGUGGGAGGAAGCUCUUCGGGGUGUAAACCACUGUUGCCCGGGACGAACACACUCUUUUGAGAGUGCUGACGGUACCGGGUGAGGAAGCACCGGCUAACUCUGUGCCAGCCGCCGCGGUAAU